rnacentral:rRNA from 1 species
GACGAACGCUGGCGGCGUGCUUAACACAUGCAAGUCGAGCGAGGCCCCUCCUUCGGGAGGGUGUCCUAGCGGCGAACGGGUGAGUAACACGUGGGCAACCUGCCCUCAGCUCUGGGAUAACUCCGGGAAACCGGGGCUAAUACCGGAUACGACCUCCACGGGCAUCUGCGGAGGUGGAAAGUUUUUCGGCUGAGGAUGGGCCCGCGGCCUAUCAGCUAGUUGGUGGGGUAGUUGCCCACCAAGGCGACGACGGGUAGCCGGCCUGAGAGGGCGACCGGCCACACUGGGACUGAGACACGGCCCAGACUCCUACGGGAGGCAGCAGUGGGGAAUAUUGCGCAAUGGGCGAAAGCCUGACGCAGCGACGCCGCGUGAGGGACGAAGGCCUUCGGGUUGUAAACCUCUUUCAGCAGGGACGAAGCGAAAGUGACGGUACCUGCAGAAGAAGCACCGGCCAACUACGUG